UGGGGAAUAUUGCACAAUGGGCGCAAGCCUGAUGCAGCCAUGCCGCGUGUAUGAAGAAGGCCUUCGGGUUGUAAAGUACUUUCAGUCGGGAGGAAGGUGGUAAGGUUAAUAACCUUAUCAAUUGACGUUACCGACAGAAGAAGCACCGGCUAACUCCGUGCCAGCAGCCGGGUAAUACGGAGGGUGCAAGCGUUAAUCGGAAUUACUGGGCGUAAAGCGCACGCAGGCGGUUGAUUGAGUCAGAUGUGAAAUCCCCGGGCUUAACCCGGGAAUUGCAUCUGAUACUGGUCAGCUAGAGUCUUGUAGAGGGGGGUAGAAUUCCAUGUGUAGCGGUGAAAUGCGUAGAGAUGUGGAAGAAUACCGGUGGCGAAGGCGGCCCCCUGGACAAAGACUGACGCUCAGGUGCGAAAGCGUGGGGAGCAAACAGG
rnacentral:rRNA from 1 species